CCCAGUGGCGGCUGCUAUACAUGCAGUCGAGCGCGGGAAGCGAGUGGAUCCCUUCGGGGUGAAGCUCGUGGAACGAGCGGCGGACGGGUGAGUAACACGUGGGCAACCUACCUGUAAGAUCGGAAUAACCCCGGGAAACCGGGGCUAAUGCCGGGUAAUACUUUUCUUCGCAUGAAGGAAAGUUGAAAGAUGGCUUCUUGCUAUCACUUACAGAUGGGCCCGCGGCGCAUUAGCUAGUUGGUGAGGUAACGGCUCACCAAGGCGACGAUGCGUAGCCGACCUGAGAGGGUGAUCGGCCACACUGGGACUGAGACACGGCCCAGACUCCUACGGGAGGCAGCAGUAGGGAAUCUUCCGCAAUGGACGAAAGUCUGACGGAGCAACGCCGCGUGAACGAUGAAGGUCUUCGGAUCGUAAAGUUCUGUUGUUAGGGAAGAACAAGUACCGUGCGAAUAGAGCGGUACCUUGACGGUACCUAACGAGGAAGCCCCGGCUAACUACGUGCCAGCAGCCGCGGUAAUACGUAGGGGGCAAGCGUUGUCCGGAAUUAUUGGGCGUAAAGCGCGCGCAGGCGGUUCCUUAAGUCUGAUGUGAAAGCCCACGGCUCAACCGUGGAGGGUCAUUGGAAACUGGGGAACUUGAGGACAGAAGAGGAGAGUGGAAUUCCACGUGUAGCGGUGAAAUGCGUAGAUAUGUGGAGGAACACCAGUGGCGAAGGCGACUCUCUGGUCUGUUUCUGACGCUGAGGUGCGAAAGCGUGGGUAGCAAACAGGAUUAGAUACCCUGGUAGUCCACGCCGUAAACGAUGAGUGCUAGGUGUUAGGGGGGCUUCCACCCCUUAGUGCUGAAGUUAACGCAUUAAGCACUCCGCCUGGGGAGUACGGCCGCAAGGCUGAAACUCAAAGGAAUUGACGGGGGCCCGCACAAGCGGUGGAGCAUGUGGUUUAAUUCGAAGCAACGCGAAGAACCUUACCAGGUCUUGACAUCCUUGGACCACCCUAGAGAUAGGGUUUUCCCUUCGGGACCAAGUGACAGGGCUGCAUGAUUGUCGUCAGCUCGUGUCGUGAGAUGUUGGGUUAAGUCCCGCACGAGCGCAGCCCCUAAUCUACUUGCCAGGCAUCAGUUGGCCACUCUAGGUGACUGCAGUGACAAACCGGAGAAUGGCGGGAAUGACGUUCCAUC
rnacentral:rRNA from 1 species